GCGUGAAUAGCUCAGUUGGUAGAGCAUAACCUUGCCAAGGUUGGGGUCGCGAGUUCGAGUCUCGUUUCCCGCUCCA
rnacentral:tRNA from 3 species